rnacentral:misc_RNA from 1 species
GAUGAAGAACGCAGCGAAAUGCGAUACGUAAUGUGAAUUGCAGAAUUCAGUGAAUCAUCGAGUCUUUGAACGCACAUUGCGCCCUGUGGUAUUCCGCAGGGCAUGCCUGUUCGAGCGUCAUUUCAACCCUCAAGCUCUGCUUGGUGUUGGGCCCUGCCCGCUGCGGCCGGCCCUAAAGACAGUGGCGGUGCCGCCUGGCCCUGAGCGUAGUACAUCUCUCGCUCCAGUGCCCGGUGGUAGCCUGCCAGAACCCCAACUCUCGUGGUUGACCUCGGAUCAGGUAGGGAUACCCGCUGAACUUAAGCAUAUCAUAAGCGGGGA